AGGCUGGGGCCAGAUGACAGCUAGUGAGGGAGCAGAGACAAGACAAGGCGAGCCUGUGACAGAGCGAGACCCUGUCUCAAAAAACAAAAACAAGACAUGUGAGCUUGGACUCCAGUGUGGAAUCCCAUGUCCGCUCAGUGCACCUUUCUGCCGCUGAAAGUACAAGAGGAGAGGGGAAACCCACAGGUGGAGCUGACCAUGAGGACUGUCACAGGUGAGCUCAGGGGCUUGGGCGCCACCCCACAGGCCAUGGGGGGCUGCUGACCAACUCUGGGAGUGACAUCAUGAGGAAUGUGGCAUUUUAGGACAGUUGCCUUCUUAAUGAAGAGGACUCUGCUGAGUCUGGUGUAGCCAGGGGUGGCAGGAGCCAGCUGACAUGGGUAUGAGGGCUACUCCCUGACCCUCUCGGGAGGGUGUUACUAGCAGCAGCCACUGCAGCCCUGAGCCCCAGAAACACCAUUGUGGAGGCUUACAGUGCCUUCUCGAAGCUACCCAGCUUUCCCUCACCAGGGGCUGGUCCUUGGUUCCCACCUGCUGCCAUUCUUCCAGCUUUGAGAGGCAAAUCCAGAAAUCAGCCCUCCAGCUUCCUCUACCAAGAAGACUGGCGGUUACAACCCUGGCUCUGUGGGGCUUCUCUUGCCCUCUCUUCUGACUGCCCUACUUGGCUCCAGGUGAGGGUGAGAGGAAGCUGGAGAUGGAAGAUGCAGCUGGGGGAACUCACCAGGCAGGUCUCAGGGAACUCUUUGAAUAAGAGGACACCAGAUCAUGCCUGCAGUUCCAGCCCAGGAGCAACUAGCACCAGCCUCAGCAUGGAGCAGGACUUCAGUUCCAGCAGCGAGGACUGAGAUCAGACACAAGAGAAAGCUCCCUGAUGAGGAGGGGUGAUUCUAAAACGAAGGGCGGAAAUUAUCUGGGGAAUUUCCUUCCCGUGAAGCCUCAGGAACAUGCCAGUCCCCCACUUCGGUCUGUCCUGGGGGGUCUCACGCCCCUGUCCUCCUAGAGAAAUCUAGAUCCUCCAAACUCUGCCUGGGUUCUUCCUGGGGAGUCUUGACCCCUGCCUUGUGGUUGAUGUGGGAUAGGGGACCCGGGAACAGGGCUGCCUUCCUCUGGCCAAGGCCUGGCAAGCAAGUGUGGGAUGGGUGCUGUCUUCCUGAGAGGGACAAUAGAAGUGACAGAGCCCCCUAAUUCAAGACCCUGCAGAGGUGGUGUGAGAUCUUAUAAUAUCAGUCUCUAAGCCAGUGCCUCUCAAGCUCUCUUUGGUGAAGAAUCAAUUUUUAAAAUAUAUAAUCAGUCACAGAUCAAUGCUUUUGUAAAAUGCAAUAAAAGUUAAUUUCCAAAAAAAUCACAUACUUGGGUACCAUGGUAAUGUCAAUGUAAAAUUGCUGUAAAAUUGUUCUAAGUGCUUACUCUCAAUGUCUGUGCUCAGCUUAUCAGCAACCAGUAACAGUUUGUACCACUGGUUUGUACCACGACAACCAUGCUACACUUGGAGCUGACACUUUCAUAAAGGUUAAUUUCCCUCUUUUCCUUCCUGAAGUUUGACCUCUUCCUUGAUUAGAUAGGAGGAGGGAUUCCGACAGCCCCUCACCAUCUGUUUAGAACCUCUCCCCCCAUUGCAGGUCCUUCCUGGUCAUCUAACACCAUAUGCCAUAUGGAACAGUCCUGAUUAUACAUAUUCUGUCUCAUGGGCAAUGUGUUCUGAUUUGGGUCUUUUUUUUUUUUUUUUUUUUUUUUGAGACAGAUACUCUGUCACUCAGGUUGGAGUGCAAUGGCAUGAUCAUAGCUCACACUGCAGCCUCCAACUCCUGGGCUCAAGCGAUCCUCCUGCCUCAACCUCCCUUGUAGCUAGGACUACAGGUGUGAGUCAUCACCAUAGCUGAUUUUUUUUUACUUUUGUUAUUUGUAGAGAUGAGGACUCACUGUGUUGCCCAGGCUGGUCUUGAACUCCUGACCUCAAGCAAUCCUCCCACCUCAGCCUCCCGAAGUGCUGGGAUGAGCCACCCAUUCACACAGGCAUGAGGCACUGCACCUAGCUUGAUUUUUUUU
rnacentral:lncRNA from 1 species